CCAAUAGCGUAUAUUAAAGUUGUUGCAGUUAAAAAGCUCGUAGUUGAAUUUCGGGGUCAGUAGGUUGGUCAUGCCACUGGUAUGUACUGGUCUCACUGAUUCUUCCUUCCUGAUGAGCCGUAAUGCCAUUAAUUUGGUGUUGCGAGGAAUCUGGCCUGUUCCUUUGAAAAAAUUAGAGUGUUUAAAGCAGGCUACCGCUUGAAUACAUUAGCAUGGAAUAAUGAAAUAGGACGUUCGAUCUUAUUUUGUUGGUUUCUAGGAUUGACGUAAUGAUUAAUAGGGAUAGUUGGGGGCAUUAGUAUUCAAUUGUCAGAGGUGAAAUUCUUGGAUUUAUUGAAGACUAACUACUGCGAAAGCAUUUGCCAAGGAUGUUUUCAUUAAUCAAGAACGAAAGUUAGGGGAUCGAAGACGAUCAGAUACCGUCGUAGUCUUAACCAUAAACUAUGCCGACUAGGGAUCGGAUGAUGUUAAUUUUUUAAUGACUCAUUCGGCGCCUUACG
rnacentral:rRNA from 1 species